rnacentral:misc_RNA from 1 species
AACCAUAGAAACCUGCGGAGUACCUGCGGAAGGAUCAUUACAAGUGACCCCGGUUUACCACCGGGAUGUUCAUAACCCUUUGUUGUCCGACUCUGUUGCCUCCGGGGCGACCCUGCCUUCGGGCGGGGGCUCCGGGUGGACACUUCAAACUCUUGCGUAACUUUGCAGUCUGAGUAAACUUAAUUAAUAAAUUAAAACUUUCAACAACGGAUCU